rnacentral:rRNA from 1 species
UACGUAGGGUGCAAGCGUUUAAUCGGAAUUACUGGGCGUAAAGCGUGCGCAGGCGGUUUUGUAAGUCUGUCGUGAAAGCCCCGGGCUCAACCUGGGAAUUGCGAUGGAGACUGCAAGGCUUGAAUCUGGCAGAGGGGGGGUAGAAUUCCACGUGUAGCAGUGAAAAUGCGUAGAGAUGUGGAGGAAUACCGAUGGCGAAGGCAGCCCCCCUGGGAUAACACUGACGCUCAUGCACGAAAGCGUGGGGAGCAAACAGG